UCGGCCUGUAGGAGAAGAGCUCUCGUCUCGUCCCCCCCGAAUUCUUCGUUUCUGAGAAGACGCGAAGCAGAGGAAUGGCAGAUGGAGGCGGUUUCUCGAUCGUCGCCCCGUAGGAGCAGAGCCCUCGUCUCGUCCCCCAAAUUCUUGUUUCCGAUGCGAAGGCCGCAGCUCGAUCGCCACCCUGUAAAUUACCAACCUGUUGGCAUCUGUACUCGGAUGGUGUCUCUUUGUUGCUCA